GGGCGGGGGCMCGGSGGGCCUACSGGAGGCAGGGCACGGGAAUAUACGCAAGGCAGCAGAGGGGAAUAUUGGMCAAUGGGCGCAAGCCUGUCCAGCCAUGCCGSGWAAGUGAUGAAGGCCCUAGGGUUGURAAKCUCUUCACCGGGAAGAUAAUGACGUAGCAGAGAUAGACCCGKUCCA
rnacentral:rRNA from 1 species